AGAGUGGUACAUGCUCUAGUUAUCUCUCGCUAGGACUACUGCAAUGUGCUUACGUGGGGCUACCUUUGAAGGUGACCCGAAAACUACAACUAAUCCAGAAUGCGGCAGCUAGACUGGUGACUGGGAGCAGCCGCCAAGACCACAUAACACCGGUCUUGAAAGAUCUACAUUGGUUCCCAGUACGUUUCCGAGCACAAUUCAAAGUGUUGGUGCUGACCUUUAAAGCCCUAAAUGGCCUCAAUCCAGUAUACCUGAAGGAGCGUCUCCACCUCCAUAGGUUUGCCCGGACACUGAGAUCCAGCACCGAGGGCCUUCUGGUGGUUCCCUCAUUGCGAGAAGCCAAGUUGCAGGGAACUAGGCAGAGGGCCUUCUCAGUAGUGGCGCCUGCCCUGUGGACCGCCCUCCCAUCAGAUGUCAAAGAGAAAAAUAACUACCAGACUUUUAGAAGACAUCUGAAGGCAGCCCUGUUUAGGGAGGCUUUUAACGUUUAAUAGAUUACUGUGUUUUAUUUUUCUGUUGGAAGCCGCCCAAAGUGGCUGGGAAACCCAGUCAGAUGGGCAGGGUAUAAAUAAAAAAUUAUUCUUAUUUAUUAUUAUUAUAAAGACAGUGUCACUGUUUGUGGUACCAUCAAGGAGGUUCUUGGGCCCAAGGCAGGAACUGAAAGUCUUAACAAGGCUGCUAUAUCAGUAGUUCUGCAGCCAGUCUUUUCAAAGUUAUGCUGAACCACCCAUUUCUACUAAGCUGCUGGUUGGUCUUUGCUGUAUAAAGCUGCAGUUCUAGCUCCAUCGCCUUACCUUGAACAAUUCAAAGUAGCCUUUCCCCCAGAGUUCUGGGCAUCAUAGCCAGAUUCUUGCCUCAUUGGGUCUUCCAUCCUGGCCAAAGCAGGGACUUCUGCUUGCAUUCCAUUUCAGAUAGUCUGUGGUCUCGUCCUCAGACCGAAAACAGAUUCAAACCUCAACACAAUGAGCUCUGGCUCCAGGUUAAGUUAUCAUUGAUUGUAUGCAUGUUGCCUGCAUCCAAAUAAACAGAAGCAGGCAAUAUAAAGUGCCAGGUCUAGUCUAUAAAUAACCUACUGAUGUCGUCCCAUCCUAACCAGCAUAGUGUAGUGGUUAAGAGCGGUGGACUUCUAAUCUGGCAAACCGGGUUCGCUUCCCCGCUCCUCCACAUGCAGCUGCUGGGUGACCUUGGGCUAGUCACACUUCUCUGAAGUCUCUCAGCCUCACUCACCUCACAGAGUGUUUGUUGUGGGGGAGGAAGGGAAAGCAGAAUGUUAGCCACUUUGAGACUCCUUAAGGGGAGUGAAAGGCAGGAUAUCAAGUCCAAACUCCUCCUCCUCCUCCUCCUCCUCCUCCUCCUCCUCCUCCUCCUCCUCCUCCUCCUCCUCCUCUUCAAUCAAGCACAUUAGGUUCUGGUCUUGCAAAAUUCUGAGUCUGCUCAGAGACACCUAGUUAAUUUGUAUGCCCGUAGAAUAUAGAAUGCCUUCUUGCACUUCUACUCAUCAAGCUGUUCCAUUUUAGAUUAUAAAAAGAGUUGGCAUGGAAAUGCCACCUAAAGCAAAAUGUGAAUCAAAUUUUAGAGCAGCUCCCCCAGUGAAAAUAUUGAUGGACUUUCGUAGCAAAGCCAGAAUGUUCUUGAUAAUUGUAAGACUGGCAAAAUUGGGGGGAGGGGGUUCUCAGGUACUAAAUGUGGCAAUAUGUAACAUUGGAAUCAGUGGCAGUGGAUUCUGAGUUAGGUUUCCGAUAGCUCUAAACAUGCCUGAUUUAGGUAGGUAAGAGUUAGGAUUGCCCACUGUUUGGUUUAACCCAGCUUGACGGUUUCCCUUCCUCCUUAACCCCGCCCUUGCAAUAAUACAAGUUCUUUGGCUCAACACGAGCAUUAGUCAGCAGGCAAUCUUAAACUCUCAUGCAUUUAAGUUAAUUAACAUAUUCAUUUCAGGAGAAUUGGGGGGGGGGCAUUGGCUAGGUGUGAGAGCACAUCUGCCAGAUUCUUGUGAUGAUAUUUCACAUUGCAGUUUCCUCCUCCUUCCCAUUUCCUUGAAAUAAAUAUGGAGCAUUGGUUUCUAUGAAUAAAUUUGAAAUAUGGGAAGCCAGAGAUAUUUCAAAGGAUUUUUUUAAAACAGUGCUGGCCCUGCAUAUUCUGGUGAGUUGGGCAAAUAUUCUAGGUUGUUGCGUGAUGUGUCUGUAUAUGUGUGACGGCAUGCUCACACUACCAUCCCAUGUUGCUGAGAUCCUCUGAUGCCUGAGGGUGAUUUGUUGAGCCUGGGGAAAGAAAGGCAUUUGUCAGCUUCCUGGAAAUAGCCUGCUAUGUUUCCCUGACUGCUGCUGAACAGAGGAACUUCUUUGUGUUACUGACCACUCCAAAGCCUGACAUAACUGCCUUGGAUUGCUGAUGGCAGGUGGUUGUACAAACUUAUGGUUCUUGGGCAGGCCUGCUCUGAAGUCCAGCCUCUGAGGCCCCUAGAGGAAACAUUAAUCACAGUCUAAACUUCUGCAAUCAGAACCAAUAUGAUUUCUCAGUGGCUUCAUUUUGGCUACAUAGCUGCCACCAGAGUUCAGACCUGAGUUUCCUAUCAGAGGGGAGUGAUUUGGGCAUUCUAAUUCAGAACCCCAUUACUUUUCACAACAAACAAUAUUAUUGUCAUGUCCCUGGAGUCUGGUCGUGACCAGGGCACUAAAUUGGAGGCUACAGUAUUACCGACAAAGGAGCCAGACCAGACUGCUGAUUUUCAGCCUAAUUCUGCUUUUCAGGGUACCCUGGAACCUUAGUCUGGAAGGCAGGAACCCACUGAACCAGAUACCACAGCACUAGGGCCUGUAGAACAGAAUCCAGGUCCCUCACAGCUGUCCUCCCCUGAAAGUACUGUAUCUCAAAGUAGCUCGCCAGUUCAGUGGUGCAGGGAGCACAUCAGGUGUGUGGUGUUUAUGUGUAUUGGGAUGCAAAUGAAGUGCCUGCCUCCAGACUUUUAAGAGCCUCUAGGGCAGGCAUCCCCCCCCAAACUUCGUCCCUCCAGAUGUUUUGGACUACGAUUCCCAUCAUCCCUGACCACUGGUCCUCUUAGCUAGGGAUCAUGGGAGUUGUAGGCCAAAACAUCUGGAAGGCUGCAGUUUGGGGAUGCCUGCUCUAGGGUGUGGAGCCUAGGAGAGGUUAACUUGGAUGCAGAAAAUCAGAAGCUCUCUGGUCAAUUCCAACCCUUGUCAGAGCUCACUUGGAGCUCUCCAAGGUGCUACAGCAACUGACUUGCCUUUUUUUGUGUGGGCUCCUGGAGAGGAGCAGAGCAAGCUGGCUCCUAUGCUAAGUGCUCCUACUUUAGUGAUGGUUGCUUUCUCGUUAACACAGUAUUUCUUGGCAGUGAUCAGAACUCCCCACGUGCAAUUUUGCUUUCACUCUGCACUCCGGUACAGAAGAAAUCAUGAUUAACGGGACCGUUUGUAUUCUCGGACAGACUGUAGGGUGAACAUAUUUGUUAAUACUUCUAAGAAAGGCUGUGACGUUGUCCACCCCCACCCAAAGUAUAUACAGUGGAACCUCGGUUUAUGAACACCUCGGUUUAUGAAUUUUCGGUUUAUGAACGCCGCGGACCCAUCUGGAACGGAUUAAUUCACUUUCAAUUACUUUUAAUGGGAAAGUUCGCUUCAGUUUAUGAACGCUUCAGUUUAUGAACAGACUUCCGGAACCAAUUACACCCAUGUUUCACUUUAUGAACGCUUCAGUUUAAGUACUUCGCGGACACGUCUGGAACGGAUUAAUCCACUUUCCAUUACUUUCAAUGGAAAAGUUCGCUUCAGUUUAUGAACGCUUCAGUUUAUGAACAGACUUCCGGAACCAAUUGUGUUCAUAAACCGAGGUACCACUGUAGUGUAGAUUACAUAAGGAUGUAGUGAGCUAGGAGAGUGAGGUGGGGGUUUGUGGUGUGUGUGUUUUUUAAUGGCUUGAACAGUUGAAUCCUCAUUUCUUCCACCUCUUUGUAUCAAGGAACUGAAAUCUUCUAUACUCCACCCCUCAAUUUAUCUGACUCUUCGGGUGCAUUCAGACAUGCUGUAUAUUGAAUUAGUUCUCCUGAUUAUGAUGCCAGCACUUCUGCCCCAUUUUCUAAUGUUCUUUCUCAUGCCCAUGCACAUUUCCCAAGGUGCCCCCUGUUAAAAUGGGCUUGCCAGCCAGGACUGAACAGACUUGCAUGUUCUGCUGAAAAGGCUGCCGUUUUGAAGACUAACAUGCUAACUGGCACAAGGUCACCCACUGAAAAUCUACCCUUUGUAUUUGAUCCAACGAAAAGGUCUGCAUCUGCAUGGUACUGUUUUAGCCUUCUAUUUUUAGGAGGGAAAUACCGGCAUGAAAUGUGAUGGACGGAUAUGCAUUUAAUGGGGUGGAAUUGUUAGUGUGGGUGCUUUUUGAUGGCCUGACCUUGAAACUGCAUUCUUUGAUGAAUACUAACCUUUGCUAUUAGGUGAUGGUAUUUAGAUGUUAGGGCGGCACGUUAGCUGGAUGAUAGAUGGCACCUUAGUCCUUCCCCAGAGCAGAAAUGAUUCAUACCAUUUGUAUGAAAUGCAGGAGGCAAAGGAAGAAUGGAAGGGAUCCACCUUCCAGCCAUUCUUCCAUUCUCAGGGAGGGGUCUUACAUCCAGGCAGUGGUUGUAUCUACUUAGCUUCAGCAACAUCAGGCAUUGUCAUAUAUCCCACUUCUCUAUUUCUCCUAUUUCUAUAGAAUUUGCUAAUCUUCCUUCAUAGCAGAUGUGGGGGGGGGACCUCUGCCCCUCCAGCGGUUGUAAGACUCCAACUCCUAUAAGCCCCAGCCCACAGGCAAAUGGGCAGCAAUUAUAGGAGCCCAGCACCACUGCUUUAUAGCAUGUGCCUGCUUCCCCUCCCUAUCAUAUCACCCAUCGCUGCACAUAUGGUUCAUUGCUGUGAUUUUUCUUAGCAUAGUCCCACUCAAAGGCUCAGGGUUGCAUAAUAUGGCAAAACCAAGGGAAGUCGGGUGUGGGGCUUUUGGCUUUUAUUAGGGGCUUUGCCAUCCACUGACUUGAUUGACAGGCUCCACUUCCUAAUAGGUGGGCCUCCAUGAGAUGGUGAACUUGCAGCUGCCUGCUAGGGAAAUUAUUAAUGUCAUUAAUCUGUUCUUACCUCCCGAUAUUUUUGUAUGCUGCAUCUUGAAGAACACUAUAAGAAAAUAAAAAAGCAACAACUGUGUACUCCAUUAAUACUCUAUUUGACAUAUUCUUAAGUUAUAAAUGUAGGAGCAUUGAUGCACAAUUUCCCCCCCACCCCUCACUUGAAUAUAAUGUGUCUAGAAAUACUUAACACAUAAUUACUAGGGAGAAAAAUUGGAAAGCCAUUCAGCAAAGCUCUUGAAAAGGUUUUCGUCUUUUCUGCCAAGGACGGUUUUCUUAAAUGUGCAUUUUGUAUUUUUAUUUUUAACAGUGUCUGUCAGAUGCACAUCUCUUUCCCCCAACCUGCAUUCCGGAGUUUUAUGGUGGUGAUUUAGAAAGGGUAGCUGUAUUUCUUUAUGGCUGAUAAAAUUCAUCUGAGCACAAGAAUUGCCUGCCAUAUCUAUCUCAGAUCUGCAUUGCAACGGAGAGCGUGCAAUCUUGCAUUUGCUCGAGUUAAAAGCGCCAUCAAGAUGGGAAGGCCCUCUCUUGUAGAUGCUAUUCUUUAACAGCCCCACCCCGUGAGUUACUCCAUUGGCGAAUGUGUCUUUUUGGAAUGUGGCAGGCCGGCUGCCGAGCCAGUGCAGCAUCAAAAGCUGUUGUGCCGUGCUUGUAUUGGCAACCAACCUAGGAAGGCACACCUAUACAGCCUUAUGAGGCGAUGCUUCUGUGCCAGCAACAAGCAUGUUCACCAGAUGUGCUGUCAGCCAGAGCUGGCUCGGAAAUGGAAGAAGAAUCAUUUUGGGGCACCUACCUUGAGAGUAUUGAAAGGCUGUCCUGGACGCCUUAGAUCCAGUUAUCCUGGUACAGCCUUGUAUGCUGAAUAUUGGCAGUACGCUUCCAAUUAUGGCACUGGAACGUGUGGCAAAAACCUGCCUUUGUCUGUUGAGCGCAUAGCAGUAACAGAUGCAACCAUGCAUCUCUGCACACAGUUCUGUAGGGAUGGAUGCCAGAAAUCUCAUCUAACAGAUACAUUGAGCAACACAGAAUAAUGCACCGCCUUAUUAAAACGAAUCUACUUAUUCCCUUCCAAAGAAAACCAGAUGUAGUGCUGCAAUAGUUGGUGCCUCUUUUCAUCUCCAUUAGUGGCAAAGUAUAGUUUGGCUUGGCAUUUCCAAUAGGAUUGUAGUAGAUCUCUUAGGGGGUUGAGCAAUGCCUUUCAUUUUGGUUUGAAAGGUAAUAAAAAAAUUAAUAUUCACCUGUGUUUCUUAAGAAGUAUCCCCUGGAGAAAGAUGAUUCAGUCGCCAGUUGGUCAAUCAAACUUAUAAGAAGAGCCUGCUGGGUGAGGCCAAAGGCCCAUCUAGCCCAGCAUUCUGUUCUCACUGUGGCCACCCAGAUUCUCUUGGGAAGCCCAAGCACAAGAUCACUCUCCCCUCCUAUGGCUUCCAUCAGCUGGGAGCCAGAUGUCAAAGACAAAAACAACUACAGUGGCCCCUCGACUUACGAACUUAAUCCGUUCCGAAUGCACAUUCGUAGGUCGAAAAGUUCGGAAGUCGGAACGCGGUUUCCCAUAGGGGAAAAAAAUAUUCGGAAAAAUUUGUAAGUUGAAAAAACUGCAUGUAAAAAUUUGUUAGUCGAGGAAACCACAUUGAAAGCCGCCAACGGUUUCUGUUCGGAUGUAGAAAAAUUUGUAAGUGUGUGGCCAUUUGUCCCGUGCAUAAGUCGGAACCUACGGAUGUCGAGUAAUUCGUAAGUCGAGGGACCACUGUACCAGACCUUUAGAGGACAUCUGAAGGCAACCCUGUUUAGGGAAGCUUUUACUGUUUAAGAAAUUAUUGUAUUUUAAUAUUUCUUUUGGAAGCCGCCCAGGUGGCUGGGGAAACCCAGCCAGAUGGGCGGGGUAUAAAUAAUAAAUAAAUAAAUUAAUAAUAAUAAUAGUAAUAAUAAUCUGCCAUGUGAUCUGCAGAACUCUGCUCCAGCAGGGGCACAAGUGUUGUCCUCAGUGUUUUGUUUGCUCAGCAGGGUCACCCUCACGGAGCGCUCAUAAAAGGCUCCUGCUUGUGUGGAGCUCUGUGUGAGCAUCAGAGCCCCCGGGAAUGUGCCACAACUGCCAGACCUGUGCAGAUUAGUCAGGGCCAGAUGGAGGUUUGAUGAGGCCCUAAGCUACUGAAGGUAUACGUCCUUUGUCAACAACUAACUGUCGCUGUUUUCUGUAUUGAAUGUAUGCUAUAUGGUAAUUUAUGGACCUAAUAGGUAUCUAAAGCCAGUUGCACAUGUUGCCCUGCAACCAGUCCAUGCAGAAUGUAGGCACCCUAUAUCUAGAAAUGAGCAAACCAGUGAUAUUUUAGGGAGCAGGCUUACAUCAUACUUACAUCAUAGGAGCCUACACAACACAAAACACUGCCGCUGUAGUUUUUUUUUUUUUUAAUCUUAUUUUUGGAAAUGUACAUUCAGGUUUUUUUCCCUUUAAAUUUUUUGGGGGCCCCCAAGAGAGUGGAGCCCUAAAAUAUAGCUUGUUUAGCUGAUACGUAAAUCCGGCACUGAGAUUAGUCCAAGCAUUGGAAUGGCUUCUCUAACACUCAUCACCAAGAGUUCAUAUGAAGUAACCCAUAAAGUCAGAAAACCUGGUGUUUCUUCUUUCAAGUAAGAAUCAUAAUGAAUCCCUGUGGUUUUUUAAUACUAAUUCCUUCCAUUUAUAUCAGAGUGUUAGAUUCACGUGCCCCAUUACUGGCUGAAUUACAGCCUGUGUAAAUAGGUGAAAGAACGGUCAGUUCACCUGAACAUUUGGGUUUGUGCAAUUUCCAUGAAAUCAAUGCAGCCACACCAGCCUAUGUGGCCUUGUAAUUACCUCACAGAGCAUUUCAUCCUCCCCCCCCUAAUCUCUUCUCCCCGCCCCCCACUCCCUGCUCCGUAGCUGUAUUUGCAAAGCCCAGGGUAUUGUCAGAACGCAGUGCAUUCCUACUGUGAUCUGUUCUCCUUGCCACACUGACACCUGCUGAGACUGCAUUGGAUUGUUAUUUUAUAGCAGCCUUUUCUUGAAUUAAUUACAUAUCUGCAAUCAGGGAACCGUGGCUGCUGUUUAUGAGCAACAUCUCGGGUACAACUGUGAACGAGUGAAUUAGUGCCAAUUAAUUUUGUGGCUGCAUUAUUUAAGGUGGAGAGAAUGCUAGCUUAGCCAGGACAUCAUUCCCCCCUCGGUGCCUUUUAUAGGUACUUUUCUUGAGUUCUUUAAAAAGAGCCUGUAAUCAACUUGGGCAUGUGGAGGAGGGCAGGAUCUGCUGUAUGAAAUGCAUCACCCUGCGUAGAUUCAAAUGGCCUUCUUCUGUGUACAGUGGUACCUCGGUUUACAAACACAAUUGGUUCCGGAAGUCUGUACUUAACCUGAAGCGUACUUAACCUGAAGCGAACUUUUCCAUUGAAAGUAAUGGAAAGUGGAUUAAUCCAUUCCAGAUGGUCUGUGGAGUACUCAACCUGAAGCGUACUUAACCCGAGGUAUGAGUGUAAUCGGUUCUAGAAGUCUGUAUUUAACCUGAAGCGUACUUAACCUGAAGCGAACUUUCCCAUUGAAAGUAAUGGAAAGUGGAUUAAUCCGUUCCAGACGGGUCCGUGGAGUACUUAAACUGAAAAUACUCAAACCAGGGCGUAUUUAAACCGAGGUAUGACUGUGCUCAUUCAUGGGCUGAGUGGAAAGAGUUGAAACCUUGUCCCUGGAGCCAGGCCGGUACUAUCUGAUGACCAACCCAACCUUCAUUGGUGGACACUGGCAGUGCACUAAAAAUGCACUGAAGCUGAACUGCUUCAGAAGACACACCAAGGCACAAAGGGGCUGAGAUGAAAAAUUAAGAAACUUCUAUUUAUAUAAUUACAUUUGCUCCUAUGUAGGUCUGUCGCUUCUAUCUCUCAGACCCUUCUCUUCUCUCCUCGAUACUUUCUAAGGGCUCUUCCAGGAGACUUGACAUUCAUUCUGAUUUGUUUGCGGGGAACAAUAGGACAUAUUUACUUUCAUGGUGGUUAUAUGUCAUCUCUUUAAUCAUUUAUCCAUUAAUUAAUACCAAAAUAGCUGGAGAGCUUCAGCUCUAAAACUUCCCUGUUGGUAAGGAGGCCUCAGGGCAGAAGAAAGACCAGCCCCCACAGGGAGGGGUCAGCAUGAGGGUUGGAAGUUGUUCGUACGUGUGACCUUUCUGAAAGAGGACAUGGUAUGACAACAGGGUUGAGAGUGUAGGGUGACUGAGAAAAAGGGACGUGGGUAUUUCUUGUGUGAGAUAUCACUUUUUUGUGACUUAGGGGGCUAUUUGCUUGCAGUAAACAUAAAGAGCUGCACCAUUAAGACGGCUGAUCGCCAAAGAAUUGAUGCUUUUGAAUUAUGGUGCUGGAGGAGACUCUUGAGAGUCCCAUGGACUGCAAGAAGAUCAAACCUAUCCAUCCUGAAGGAAAUCAGCCCUGAAAGCUCACUGGAAGGACAGAUCGUGAAGCUGAGGCUCCAAUACUUUGGCCACCUCAUGAGAAGAGAAGACGCCCUGGAAAAGACCCUGAUGCUGGGAAAGAUGGAGGGCACAAGGAGAAGGGGACGACAGAGGAUGAGAUGGUUGGACAGUGUUCUCGAACCUACGAACAUGAGUCUGACCAAACUGCGGGAGCCAGUGGAAGACAGGAGUGCCUGGCAUGCUCUGGUCCAUGGGGUCAUGAAGAGUCAGACACUAAAUGAUUAAACAACAACAAAACGUGGGAAAGAUGAGUAUGAAGCAUAAGUGCUGCCACAUUAUUUUAGCAGCAGUCUUUUAUUGUCCCAAUAUUUUUUGGCUCCGUGGUAGUGCAUCUCCUUUACAUGCAGAAGGUCUCAGGUUCAAUCCCUAAUAGCAUAUCCAGGUGGGUCUUGGAGAGAACCCUGCACUGAAGCCCUGGAGAGCCACUGCCAGUUGCUUUCGACAAUACUGAGCUUGAUAGACCAAUGGUCUGAUGCAGUGUAAGACAUCUUUCUAUGCCCCUGUUCAAGUCUUUUGUAAUUUUUCCCAUACUUCAGCCUCUUGGGUUCAGCCAGGUUAAGCAUCAAAAUAUUGAACAUAAUAAAGUUUCAGUCUGUAGUUUUGCACACCAAAUAAUCUCCAGGUAGCACUAUAGUUUGGUUUCAGGUGGGACUCUUACCUGAUGCCUGUAGCAUAGGCACCCCCAAACUUCGGCCCUCCAGAUGUUUUGGACUACAAUUCCCAUCUUCCCUGACCACUGGUCCUGCUAGCUAGGGAUCAUGGGAGUUGUAGGCCAAAACAUCUGGAGGGCCGCAGUUUGGGGAUGCCUGCUGUAGCACAUUCCUAAGCAUGUGUCAUCAGAGGUAAACCCCCUUGAGUUCAACAGGGCUGACUCUGAAGCAAGUGUGUUUAGAGAUCUUAAAUAAGGUUUCCUCCUCCAUAUCAAUGCAUGUGAUUUUUCCUGACGCUCACAUGCUUUGAAUAACCUAAAGGCUAGGCCUCUCUAAAGCUGAAGGAUUUGUCCAGUAAAUAAGAUGCACAACUUCCCCCAGAGUCUGGCUCAUAGCCAAAUGCCCAGAACUGCUAACAGUUUGUUUAUUUGUGGAUGGGCUUUGUUUUCUGUGCCACAACACAAAAGUUAUCUGGGCCACUUACAGUAAAAAAAACGAUGCCAACAUUUUUUAAACCCGUAAUAUCAAAAUGAAAUAGAUGCAACGAAAGCAACACCCCCAAGAAUAUAAAUACAGAUUAAAACAACACAAAACAAAACAAAACAGAGAGACCCAAACGAAAUGCCUGAGUAAACACAGAAAGUCUUCACUCAACAAGGAAAAGACCACAAAGGUGAUCCUCAUUAGUUCUGUAAGUGGGGUACCAGCUUCCAUCUUGUUGUUGGUGCCUUCAAUGGACAAAAUCUCCCCCUCACUCUCCUCCUCUCUAGUAUGUGUGUGUGUGUAAUAUUGUAUCCAUACAGCUCUUCACCGGCAAAAGGAAAUUAAAUCAGUGCACGCCAGCUAUCUUACUCAUCUCACCUGGGAAGGUAUGCAUGAGGUAGGACAGACACUGCUUAACAUUAAUCAGUCUCCUGAAGUCAUUACAUUCAUGAGGAAAUGUAAUUCACAUGUGAUUACUUUUUAAUUUACUCUGUAAUCACAUUCCUAGUGAAUGGGGUAAGCUUAAAAUGAAAUUUAAAAGUCAAAUACUGCUUUGUAUUAAGAAUUCACAAUUUUUAUAUGCACUUAGGUUAAUAAAGAUUUUUACAAUAACCAAUUGUGACUGAAGAUGCAAUCACUUUCUUCUCCGGGAAGUUGUUUUUCCUCUUCUUUUCAUCUUCACAAAAGGUGCUUCAUUCCUGCCCACAGGUACAAUAAUGGCUCUUUGGGAAGUCUUGGGAUUAUGUUUCUUGCUAAAUUUCCAUCUUGUAUAAAUGUUUGUUUAUUUUUCAAUAAUACAACAGAACAAAAUAAUUCUGUCUCAUGUUGGCAGUUUCUGGGACUCAUGUUUAAUUUUCACCGAGAAGGUGAGUUUGUUCCUUUGUUUUUUUUAGCAUCAGCAGGGGACAUUGUUGAGAAGAAGGGCUUGUGAUACAGGCUUUUUGCUUAGAGUCUCUCUUUUCCUCAAAAGGUUGAGACUUCUUUCUAGGCAUAGGAGAAUCUGUCAAUUUCAGUUCUCUCUCUUUCUCAGUUUUCCCAUAUUCAGUUCUCUAAAAUUCUACAUCAGUGUUUGGUUUAUUUAUUCUUGUGAAAAUUCAUCAGCAUUUUAAUUUCUCUGAACGGACACGUAUUUGUAUGCAAUUGUUCCUCAUUUCUGCAAAGCAUGUUCUCCACUAGAAUGCCUUUUUUGUAGUUUAUUUUCAGUAAUACAUGCAUUUCCAUGCCCACUACUUGGCUGGAGAACUGCAUUGCAAGAUUCAGAGAAGGACAAAUUUUGGAGGAUUGCUGUGUUUUGGUCCACCCAUUGUUUUGAAAAAUGUAGGUCAGGUGGGUUUGCCUUUAAAUGAAAACAGAAUUGCAUUACUUCUCCAUUACUACUCUGCUCUGGUCAGACCCCACCUGGAGUACUGUGUUCAGUUCUGGGCACCACAGUUCAAGAAGGAUACUGACAAGCUGGAACGUGUCCAGAAGAGGGCAACCAAAAUGGUCAAAGGCCUGGAAACGAUGCCUUAUGAGGAACGGCUUAGGGAGCUGGGUAUGUUUAGCCUGGAGAAGAGAAGGUUAAGGGGUGAUAUGAUAGCCAUGUUCAAAUAUAUAAAAGGAUGUCAUAUAGAGGAGGGAGAAAGGUUGGUUUCUGCUGCUCCAGAGAAGCGGACACGGAGCAAUGGAUUCAAACUACAAGAAAGAAGAUUCCACCUAAACAUUAGGAAGAACUUCCUGACAGUAAGAGCUGUUCGGCAGUGGAAUUUGCUGCCAAGGAGUGUGGUGGAGUCUCCUUCUUUGGAGGUCUUUAAGCAGAGGCUUGAGAGGCAUAUGUCAAGAAUGCUUUGAUGGUGAUUCCUGCUCAGCAGGGGGUUGGACAGGAUGGCCUUUGUGGUCUCUUCCAACUCUACGAUUCUAUGAUUCUACUACUUCUUACAUAGAUGUCCUUACUGAUGUCCAUGGAAAUGGAUUUGUUGGCAAUGUCGCUUAAGGGAAACUCUUUGUUUUCAAAAUCAUGCUAAGGCCCGAUGUUUCAAAGUGGAUUGAUCUAAAUCAAGUUUCCUAUUAUAAAUUCAUAUAUCACCUGAACAUGCAUGCAGCAUCAUUUCCUACAGCAGAUAUGUAUAAAACCCUGUCCAGCACAGGCCAUUUCCCCACGUUUCCUUAGCUGGUGAUCCAAAAAGUCACUAGGUUAAAAAGGUUGAGUCUGACUUUGCUGUGUGCUUGCUAUGUAAUGGCUGCCAUCUCUCUCUUUUCUUCCUAGCAGUAUUUUUCAACUUUGGGUUCCCAGAUGGUGUUGGACUACAACCCCCAUCAUCCCUGGCUAAGCUAACUAGGGAUGAUAGGUUUUGUAGUCCAACAACAUCUGGAGACCCAAGGCAGAAGAGCACCACUUCCUAGUGUAUGUGUAUUCCUUUUUUGACUAGCAGAAGGCAUAAUUGUCAAAAUACAGUGUAUCAAGUCUGGAUCAGUGCUGCUUCGUGUUGCUUAGGGACGUAAGAAGGUAGCAAUUUUCAUUCUCUCUUGUACUCUUUGCAGUCGGCACCAUUUCCAUUCCAUUGCAGUUCAGCUUCCACCAAAAAUUUCAUUAUUCAUCUUUCUGUCCAUUGUGAUCAAAUUUAACCUAAUUAAUUAUGUAACCACUGAGAUAAUGAAUUAUGUAAUGUCUCAUCAUUCAGUUCAAUGCAAAGGAAACAUCAGAAAGAUUAGGUCUUCAGUUGCUUAUUGUUUGUGGGCUAAAACAACAAAAAAAGCACUUAUCAGAUUUCUGUUCAUGACCACACAUGCACACAUAAGCUGCAGCAAUUUCUCCUCCCUUGUCCACUUAGAGUAGAAUUCUCUACUAUCCCUACUGUUAAAUCUGUUUUCUAAGGACUGGAUCUCACAGUACUUUUAGACUGUUCCAUGUGGUGGAUAAUAGAGUACAAAAGGGCUCUUGUAGUCGCAUGAGAACAUCCUGAGAUCUCGAACACUUGCCAGAGCAGUUCUUGUGAAAUUAAAGUCUGCAGUUUGGACUUGGAUGUCUGGGCUUCAGAGAUCACCUGAACCUGGAUCUGGAGCCACAUUCUGGGGUCCUUGAUAUGGAAAUAACGAGAACCAGGCCUCCUGGUGGGUUUGGUGAUUCCAUAAAAGGUUGGCAGCAGUGGUAGGCAGAGGGAUUAUGGCCUAGCAAGUUGUGAGUUAGCAAAAUGAACUGUGCUAAGUCAGCAGGAAUGUUGGCUGGUCAGUUGAAGGAACAAGAUAUGCCCAAGUCUCUUCCCAAAAGAAGAAACAAGUUUAGAAUAACCAAAACACUACGGAUGACAAGAAGCUUUGUUCCAUUUUUCCUCCCGCCCCCUCCUCGUUUGACAAAGACUUCCAUUUUCAGAUAUAGGUCUUCUUGCCUCUAUUAGCUUUCCUGGCUUUGCUUGUUAAUCAAACUGGCAUCGUCUUGGACUUCAUACAUUUCCCAAUCUGUAGCAUAAAUUAUAUCUAUCAUCUAUAUCUAUCUAUCUAUCUAUCUAUCUAUCAUCUAUCUAUCUAUCUAUCUAAUCUAUCUAUCUUUCAUUAUCUAUCUAUUUAUCUAUUUAUCUAUCUAUCUAUAUCUAUCUCUUCUCCCCCACCCCAAACAUUAUUGACUAUACAUAACUCCCUCGCCCCAAACAUCUGAAGAGGACUUGGUUUUUUGGACAUUUGGGUGGAUAAAUAAUGACUUGCCCUAGUUACCCAGUGAAGUUUGUUGCUGAAUGGAAACGUGAACCUAAAUCUCCCACAUUCAAUGGGUGCCUCUUAUGCAUACAAUAAAGUAAUGGAAUCCAAACCACUAACAGAAAAAAAAAUGCAACGUGGAGAUGUGGUCUAUUAAGA